UACGUAGGGUGCAAGCGUUGUCCGGAAUUAUUGGGCGUAAAGAGCUCGUAGGCAGUCUGUCGCGUCGGAUGUGAAAAUCCAGGGCUCAACCCUGGACCUGCAUUCGAUACGGGCAGACUAGAGUUCGGCAGGGGAGAUUGGAAUUCCUGGUGUAGCAGUAAAAUGCGUAGAUAUCUGGAGGAACACCGGUGGCGAAGGCGGCAUCCUGGACCAACACUGACGCUGAGGAGCGAAAGCCAGGGGAGCAAACGGG
rnacentral:rRNA from 1 species